UGMAGUCGAACGAUGWACCUCCUUCGGGAGGGGAUUAGUGGCGAACGGGUGAGUAACACGUGGGCAAUCUGCCCUGMACUCUGGGACAAGCCCUGGAAACGGGGUCUAAUACCGGAUACUGAUCAUCUUGGGCAUCCUUGGUGAUCGAAAGCUCCGGCGGUGCAGGAUGAGCCCGCGGCCUAUCAGCUUGUUGGUGAGGUAAUGGCUCACCAAGGCGACGACGGGUAGCCGGCCUGAGAGGGCGACCGGCCACACUGGGACUGAGACACGGCCCAGACUCCUACGGGAGGCAGCAGUGGGGAAUAUUGCACAAUGGGCGAAAGCCUGAUGCAGCGACGCCGCGUGAGGGAUGACGGCCUUCGGGUUGUAAACCUCUUUCAGCAGGGAAGAAGCGAAAGUGACGGUACCUGCAGAAGAAGCGCCGGCUAACUACGUGCCAGCAGCC
rnacentral:rRNA from 1 species